GAUCGCCUACCCAAGGAAAACCACAUGACAAGCCUAGGCACAUGUUCUCCAUUAGAAACUGCUGGUUGUGUUAAGGAUGCAAGGUUGAAAAAUACAAGGUAAGAAAAGUCAGGCGGUUUUUUUUUAAAGAAAAGAAAAGAAAGAAAAAAGCAGCAUUCAUUGGCCCGGCAUGCGCUCCCCAGUGUGCUUGUUUUGGAUCAGCUUCCUGAAAUCCUUGGGAGGUUUCAAGAAAUGGCGAGCUGUGCUUUUCUGUCCUGCUUCGGAGGUUUCUCACUAGGCGAGGCUCCUCGACCCUUUUGGAGCUGGAGAGUUUUGUAAUCAAAAUGUUAACUUUGCGGCGGGGAUAGCACAGCUGCAGGAUAGAGAUCUCUCGACAAACGCUCAAGACCGACGCAUUUGGUGGACUACGCAAGGUGGCGCUUUGCAGUAGAAAUGUAAACCAAGAUCGAGGGAUCGGAUCUAAUAGAAUUGACUGAUAGGCACCCCCCUCCCCCAAAAGAGACUUUAAAAAACAAACAAACUAGUGAACCGAGGGCAGGUGCACAGGUAGAGCAAAGCGCACUAGCUCGACAUGUGGAAUCUCAAAAUCAGGGGAGGUCGUAACCCGAGUUCAUCCUUUGCUUGUGACUUUAUAGUAUGGUAGAGUUGGAAGAGACCCCGAGGGUCAUCUAGUCCAACCCGCUGCAGUGCAGGAAUCUCAGAUAAAGCAUCCAAGACAGAUGGCCAUCCCAUCUCCGCUUAAAAACCUCCUCCAAGGAAGAAAAGUCCACCGCUCCAGGAUGGUUUUCCCUGGAUUAACCCUCCUGGACGCGCAGUGCUGAUACCGGGGCCAUCAAUUCUGGCUUGCUUCAGCAUUGCCAUUCUGAACUGAAUACCAGAGAGAAGAGGCGCGUGACAGCCCGCAGCAGAGGCGGGGAACCUUUCUCAGCCCGAAGUCUGAGCCCCCUCCGGGGACAGUUUUCCGGGGGCCGCACGCCAGCGGUGUGUGGGGGCCAGAGGCAGAAAAAGUAGAUGGAGCAACGGAUGUGACUCUUAACCUUUGUACAGCAAGCUACGCGCCAGGCAAAAGUCAGAGGAUUCUUCCGCCCCCAGAUCUCUCCAUCCUACAGCAAGAUCGCAGCUGAAGCACCCGCCCUAGCCAGGCAAAAGUACUCGAAAGAGGCGGGGAGCAAGGCCCCUGAAGGGUGUGGCUUGGGGAACACCUUGAAGGCCGGAUUGAGAGGCUUGGAGGACCGCAUUCGGUCCUGUGCCUGAGGGUAAGAUUGAAGAGGCUGAUGUGAAAGAUCCCAGGCUUUGACAAUGGGCCUCCCUCCGCCCGCCUUUUGCCUCGCUGCUGAUAGAAGUCCUUGAAACUCCCCGCGAUGGAGCACCUUCCUCGUUCUUCCCUUGAACUACAAGCACAGUGUGUGCGUGAGAGGGAGACGGAUAUUAUGAGUGGAGAGAAGCCGUAACUGAAACCAGUGUGUGUGUGUGGUUGGGGAAUCCACAUUACGCAUUAUUUGGGCGUCUAGCAAGGCGCGGACAAUGCUGGAUGCUGCAACAACAAACCGGGGCUGCUGAAGGGCAGGAGAGCCGCGCGGCGUUUUGACGCGCCGAAAGGGGGCCCUGGAAAUGCCGCGGGAGAAGCAAGUUGCCGAUUCGCCGCCUUUGCAAGAGGCAAUUAGCCGAUUCAGACGUGCGCAUGCAUGUAAUGCGCGUUAAGGUCGAUUUAGUUCCUCUCGGUUAAACAGCAGCGCAUGGCUAAUUAAUGGGUGGAGAGGUCUUUUCCGAUGCCGGGCCUCGCUAAACAUCGGUGUUUACACAGUGCUCCUUUCAACAAAGUUUUCCCUGGUUGUAGCUCAGGGCAUUCAGGCGACCAUGCCGGUCGAUUCAUGCCUUCAACCAUCACGACCUCUUCGCCUGGGGAAUCAGUUAAGGUUCGGAAAUCCACUUAUUUAGGGAGAUUGUUUCGUGUUGCAAUCCUACUUACAUUCACCUUGGCAUAAGGUAGCAAGGCGUUCUUCCAACUAAACAUGGAUGCAGUCUGCCUGCACAGCUCCACUCUUUAAAGGAAUGAAGGGAAACCAAAGCUCUUGAGGAAAUACACACUUCUGUAACUGAAUAGAUAGAGAUAUAUAGAUUGUCAGCUUACAGCCUCUUUCCCCAGGGCUUACACUAAGCACACUUACUCCAAAGUAAAUGCCACAAAAAAGAAUGGGCGACGGAUCUCUGGGUGCUCCGCCUAGGAGGAGCCAGUCUCUGGUCACCAAAAGAGCCUCAGUUGGAGCUAAUUGGUAUAAAUAUCUGUACCAUAUAGACACAUGAUACAUAUUGCGUUCUGCAGCACUUAACACAGUCGCUAAAGUAGUCUGAUUGUGAAUAAUGUAAACAUGUCUUUGAAUCGGGCCUAGUAUGAAUAGUUAAGUUUACUCUUCCCCACCUUCCUAGAUCUUACAAAGUUCAUAAGAUCCCGUGUUCGGUUUACAAAUAUCCCUAACGACAAAGUUGUGCAGCUGGUGACAAAGGCAGCCAGAGCCUUUUGUCAGUUUCAUUUGCUUUAAAAAGAACAACAACGAACAAGAGAAAUAGCCAGGCUGCACAUUGAACUCCGUCGGACUUCUGAAUAAAACAGGCACAGAAGUGGGCUGCGCAACUUUUAUUUAAUUUUUAAACUAUUCAAAUAAACAAAGCUGCACCCAGGAAAUGGAGGAUUACAUUUUUGUUGCUAUUUUAGAUUUUCAAACUGUAUAAGCUGAAUUUAAAUAUUGGUUUAGGAUGCUGUUGGUGUUUAAAACUAUUCUGUUUUAACCCCUUUUUGAGGGCCUUUUAGUGGAAAAGCAGCCUCUAAAUUCAAUAAAUAAAUAAAUGCAAACCUGAA